rnacentral:lncRNA from 1 species
ACUUGGUAUCGUUGCAAAUCCAGUCGCCUUCAUUAGGUUUAAAUCUCGACGACAUUAUUAUGUGAAUAGAUGGCAAAUGCUCUUCCUUGCAAAACGCCUUGCUGAGUGCUGAUUGUCGCUUGUAACCUUGAAAAAUAAAAUUUAUGGCUUUUGAUUCCGAUCAAUAUUUUCAUUUCUUUACUGUAAAAAAAAAACAAAUAAUAUCAACACCUCUAAACCAA